GUACACUUGUGCAAGCUAAGAGCGGAUCAUCGCUUUGGGUUGGGUCGGUGGGUGGAUGAAAUUUGAAUAGCUUAACUGCUUAGGCUUUGUUUGAUGGAGUGGAUUAGUUUAGAGCAGCUUUGAAACUAAAAUCAAGUGAAAAUGAAUACUGAACCACUAAUUUUUCUUGUGAAGGCCUCCACCUCCUUUUUGAAAUAUCAUUGCUAUGAUGAAUCCUUUAUUGCCUGGCAUAGGCGUGGCGGUGAUCUUUAUAGUUGGAGUUAAG
rnacentral:misc_RNA from 1 species